rnacentral:rRNA from 1 species
GACGAACCGUGCGAACGUUAUUCGGAAUCACUGGGCUUAAAGAGUGUGUAGGCGGUGCUCUAAGUUCGGUGUGAAAUCUCCCGGCUCAACUGGGAGGGUGCGCCGAAAACUGGGGUGCUGGAGCGCGGGAGAGGAAAGCGGAAUUCCUGGUGUAGCGGUGAAAUGCGUAGAUAUCGGGAGGAACAUCAGUGGCGAAGGCGGCCAUCUGGGACAACACUGACGCUGAAGCACGAAAGCGUGGGGAGCAAACAGG